GACGCUGGCGGCGGCCUAACACAUGCAAGUCGAGCGCUUCACUUCGGUGAGGAGCGGCGGACGGGUUAGUAACGCGUGGGAAUAUGCCCUUCUCUACGGAAUAGCCUCGGGAAACUGAGAGUAAUACCGUAUACGCCCUUCGGGGGAAAGAUUUAUCGGAGAAGGAUUAGCCCGCGUUAGAUUAGAUAGUUGGUGGGGUAAUGGCCUACCAAGUCUACGAUCUAUAGCUGGUUUGAGAGGAUGAUCAGCAACACUGGGACUGAGACACGGCCCAGACUCCUACGGGAGGCAGCAGUGGGGAAUCUUAGACAAUGGGCGCAAGCCUGAUCUAGCCAUGCCGCGUGAGUGACGAAGGCCUUAGGGUCGUAAAGCUCUUUCGCCAGAGAUGAUAAUGACAGUAUCUGGUAAAGAAACCCCGGCUAACUCCGUGCCAGCAGCCGCGGUAAUACGGAGGGGGUUAGCGUU
rnacentral:rRNA from 1 species